GACGAACGCUGGCGGCGUGCCUAAUACAUGCAAGUCGAACGCAGUGGGGACGGGUGAGUAACACGUGGGUAACCUCCCAUCAGAGGGGAUAACACUUGGAAACAGGUGCUAAACCGAUACUGAUGGAUGGACCCGCGGUGCAUUAGCUAGUUGGUGAGGUAACGGCUCACCAAGGCCACGAUGCAUAGCUGAACUGAAAGGAUGACCAGCACCACUGGAACGGAGAAACGGUCCAGAGUCCUACGGGAGGCAGCAGUGGGGAAUAUGGCACAAUGGGCGCAAGCCUGAUGCAGCCAUGCCGGGUGUGUGAAGAAGGCCUUCGGGUUGUAAAGCACUUUCAGCGGGGAGGCGUUACCCGCAGAAGAAGCACCGGCUAACUCCGUGCCAGCAGCCGCGGUAAUUC
rnacentral:rRNA from 1 species